rnacentral:rRNA from 1 species
UACAGAGGUCUCAACCGUUGUUCGGAUUCAUUGGGCGUAAAGGGUGCGUAGGCGGGCAGGUAAGUCCGUGGUGAAAUCUCUGAGCUUAACUCAGAAACUGCCAUGGAUACUAUUUGUCUUGAAUAUUGUGGAGGUAAGCGGAAUAUGUCAUGUAGCGGUGAAAUGCUUAGAUAUGACAUAGAACACCAAUUGCGAAGGCAGCUUACUACACAGUUAUUGACGCUGAGGCACGAAAGCGUGGGGAUCAAACAGG